rnacentral:lncRNA from 10 species
CUGGCAUCUUGCAACUUGAAUUGCUGAGGUUUCAGGCAGAGCAGUGGGCGCAGAUGCCAUGGCGGGAAGCAGGCCUUUCUGAAUUCUUAGCAGCGAUCUCCAGGGGCACUCUAACCUUGCAAGAAAGAGGCUGCCAGUCUUGCAUCAGAUGCAGAAACCAGGGCGCAGAGUAGUCUGUGAAAUGCGGUGGGUGCAUCCAACUCCAAGCCUGUCUCUGCCCUGGGUCCUGGAGCCUGGAGGACGAAUGAGGUCAUGUUUUUCUAGGAGCUAGAGCAUCUUGGAUGGAGAAACCUCGGCAAAGACAAAGGCCCAUUGUCCCCCUUCCCCGGCCUUCUGCCAGCUCCCUCCCCAGUCACCAGAGGAGGCCAGCCCUGCCCACCCCACAGCCCCCAGAGGCUGCCAGGCGCCAAUAUGGGGUAACUCAGCGCCCCCUCCCUUGCCAUUGGUUGACGAUGCCUGGAAUCCCACCAUCAGAGCUUUGUUAAGGUUGCUGUGGGAUGGGUGGCAGGGAGGCAGCAAAAGACAAGAAGGUGGUGGGGACCUCUGGCUUGUGGAUUUCAUAAUCAGACCUUUAUGGUGGGCUUGGGUAGGAGAUCAGGCAAUACUAAAUAAUAAUAAAAACAAAUUUCACACUUGCUUUUCAGUAGCUUUGGCAUGAAACCUUUAUAAGCAUUAUCUCAAUGAGGCCCACAGAGCUCUGUCAGUCAUUAGCCAGGCAGGACAAAUAACAGCUUGAACAUAAUGCGUCCAAAAGUCAACUCUUGGU